GACGAACGCUGGCGGCGGGUUUAACACAUGCAAGUCGAGGGACGAAGUUUGGUGCUUGCACCGAACGGAAACCGGCGAACGGGUGAGUAACACGUGAGGAACCAACCCUUCACUUUGGGAUAACCCAAGGAAACUUGGGCUAAUACCGGAUACCCCGGAUUGAUCGCAUGAUCUUUCCAGGAAAGCUCCGGCGGUGAUGGACGGUCUCGCGGCCUAUCAGCUAGUUGGUGAGGUAACGGCUCACCAAGGCGACGACGGGUAGCUGGAGUGAGAGCUCGAACAGCCACACUGGGACUGAGACACGGCCCAGACUCCUACGGGAGGCAGCAGUGGAGAAUCUUGCACAAUGGGCGAAAGCCUGAUGCAGCCACGCCGCGUGAGGGACGAAUGUCUUCGGAUUGUAAACCUCUUUCAGUCGUGAAGAAGCGCAAGUGACGGUAACGACAGAAGAAGCCCCGGCUAACUACGUGCCAGCAGCCGCAGUAAAAC
rnacentral:rRNA from 1 species